rnacentral:rRNA from 1 species
GACAGAGGAUGCAAGCGUUAUCCGGAAUGAUUGGGCGUAAAGCGUCUGUAGGUGGCUUUUUAAGUCCGCCGUCAAAUCCCAGGGCUCAACCCUGGACAGGCGGUGGAAACUACCAAGCUGGAGUGCGGUAGGGGAGAUUGGAAUUCCUGGUGUAGCGGUGGAAUGCGCAGAUAUCAGGAGGAACACCAAUGGCGAAGGCAGAUCUCUGGGCCGUAACUGACGCUGAGGAGCGAAAGCAUGGGGAGCGAACAGG